UCCCUGCUGGCGCAAUGGUAGCGCGCAAGACUUCUAAUCUUGAGGCUGCAGGUUCGAGCCCUGCGUGGGGAG